rnacentral:lncRNA from 1 species
CAGGCAGUCAUCUAGGCAAUUGACUCUUACCAGAACCAUGAGAAUGCACUACUUCCUCAAGCUUCUCUUUCAUUCCAGGGACUCCAAGGGCUUAUCAGAAUCUCCCCAAACAAUUCAUCUACUGAUAUACACAACUUUACCUUUCAUUUGUCAAAUAGGAGUAACUGUCAAGACAGAGCUGACCAUACCCAACUAGCUUUCUAAAGCUGAUACUUGUACACUUGAUACAAGAUAAAAAGAUAGUGUGUAGAACAAACGGCUCUUAUCAGGUAAUACAAGUAAGAAUGGCCUAGGCAGAAGAGGAAUCCUGCAGUGAAUAGUAAACAAUUAGAUAACCAUGUGUGGAGUGCCAAUGUGGAAAGCACCUCAAGCCAUUCCAGAUCCAAUGCCCAAGUGGAAAAGAACAGCCUCCAUUAGUCUUGCAUAUACAACUCAAAAGUCAAGGGUCGCCAAUGGUGUUCUCAUGGGGCCAUAUAGACACAGGGUGAUUCACUUCCUGGAACUGAAGGACUAUGAAACCAGAGUUGCUUGUUUCAAUGCAGAAAGACAGCCUUCAAAAAAUAACAAGAACUCACUUGGAAAAAAUUAUGUACCAGGUAGCCAAUCUGAAUACCAAGAAUAUUUAAUAUGUCUUAAAAAAUUAUGUUUUCGAAGAGCUUCAAAGAGACUAGCCUAGACACAGUGGGCUAAACAGGCAGACAUUGGAGUUGGUACUUUUCAGAAAAGUAGAUCUAUUUCAGAAUGCUGCUAGUAUCAAUCACCCGGAAUCAUCUAUAGUCAAAACAGUAGCAUCUUUGAGAACCAGAAGAAUAAACACACUUAUUUGGAAAUGUUAGCCUCUAUUUUAUUUCAAAUGAAGUAUCUGAAACUCAUGGAGAGAAAACAUUUGAUGCCUGACCAGAAUUUUAAAUAUAAAUUUAUAGAAUGUAGAGCGAAGAGGCAAAAGUACAAUACUGAGAUGAUGCAGGAACAGAAGACAGUUCAUAAAAGACAAGAUGAAGAUGCAAAGCCAGACUCCAGUAAAAGAGAUAAAAUGGUUUGCCCUGCAUUUGUGAAGACCUGUCCAACAUCUUGGCUCCCAGAUGAUUUACUAAGUAUUUCACUAUAGUUUCCUCUGAGCAAUGUCAGCAUUAUGAGCUGGAAUUUAUAGCAGAAUAUGAUUAAUAUCAGGUCUUGUAUGCCAAAAUGCUGACGUUAUCUAGCACAGUUAUUAACCUAGAUUCAAAAAGAAAUCUCCUUUCUCCAGGUUCAAAAGAGUAUAAUGAUAUUAAUUUUUAAAAUCUCCCUUAAUAUCAAAAGAUUAAAUAGAUUAAUCACAUUUUUUAUGCAGGGAAAUAUAGAUGCCUGUAUCUUUAUAACAAGCUGGUUCACAUUAA